rnacentral:tRNA from 1 species
CGGGCACUAGCUCAGUGGUAGAGCUCCCGCUUCAUAUGGGGGAGACCUGGGUUCGAUUCCCGACUGCUUAC